CCUACGGGAGGCAGCAGUGGGGAAUCAUUCACAAUGGGCGAAAGCCUGAUGGUGCGACGCCGCGUGAGGGAUGAAGGUCUUCGGAUCGUAAACCUCUGUCACCGGGGAAGAAACGCUAUGCGAUAAUAUCGCCUAGCCUGACUUAACCCGGAGAGGAAGCAGUGGCUAACUCUGUGCCAGCAGCCGCGGUAAUACAGAGACUGCAAGCGUUAUUCGGAUUCACUGGGCGUAAAGGGUGCGCAGGCGGCCGUGUGUGUGAGGUGUGAAAUCCCGGAGCUUAACUCCGGAACUGCGCCUCAAACUACACGGCUAGAGCAUUGGAGAGGGAAGUGGAAUUCACGGUGUAGCAGUGAAAUGCGUAGAUAUCGUGAGGAACACCAGAGGCGAAGGCGACUUCCUGGACAAUUGCUGACGCUCAGGCACGAAAGCGUGGGGAGCAAACGGGAUUAGAUACCCUUGUAGUC
rnacentral:rRNA from 1 species